UACGUAGGGGGCUAGCGUUGUCCGGAAUCAUUGGGCGUAAAGCGCGCGUAGGCGGCCCGGUAAGUCCGUUGUGAAAGUCAAAGGCUCAACCUUUGAAAGCCGAUGGAUACUGCCGGGCUAGAGUCCGGAAGAGGCGAGUGGAAUUCCUGGUGUAGCGGGUGGAAUGCGCAGAUAUCAGGAGGAACACCGAUAGCGAAGGCAGCUCGCUGGGACGGUACUGACGCUGAGGCGCGAAAGCGUGGGGAGCGAACAGG
rnacentral:rRNA from 1 species